rnacentral:sRNA from 1 species
GCUGGGUGUGGUAUUGCACACCUGUAAUCCCCGUGGCUUGGGAGACUGAGGCAGGAGGAUUGCAGGUUCAAGGCCUGCCUCAGAAAUUAGUGAGGCUCUAAGCAACUUAGCAAGACCUGUCUCAA